AUGUUCCUGAUGACUCCUUUCUUUCUGUUCCAUCAAUUGCUGAUUCUUUAUUUGCAUUUCUUCCAGUACUUUUGCUGCAGCCUGUGCAGAUUCAGCUUUCACACGUUCCACUGAGAGGAGGAAAAAGAAGACAAAUGUAUAACUAUGUGUGUUUCAAGUCUAAUUCAUUUUUGAUUACAAUAAUGCAAAAUAAGCAACAAUGUCUUCAUCUUCCAGUGAAAACAAGGAGGCUUGAGGGAGGAGAGAGACAGAGCAUGAACGGGCGAGGGGCAGAGAGAGAGGGAGACACAGAAUCGG